CUCCAGAGAAGACACAUGUACACGCCUUACUUCCUGUCCCAGCCCUAGCACCUGAGAAGGUGGACAUACUGAGGCUACCUGGGGUGGGAGUGGAAAGUCUGUUCCAGAAGGAGCUACCUGAGGGGU